rnacentral:rRNA from 1 species
CCUACGGGCGGCAGCAGUGAGGAAUAUUGGUCAAUGGCCGGAAGGCUGAACCAGCCAUGCCGCGUGAAGGUCAGUGCCCUAUGGGCGUUAAACUUCUUUUGUGCGGGAGCAAUAAUGGUCACGUGUGGCCAGACGAGAGUACCGUACGAAUAAGCAUCGGCUAACUCCGUGCCAGCAGCCGCGGUAAUACGGGGGAUGCAAGCGUUAUCCGGAUUUAUUGGGUUUAAAGGGUGCGUAGGCUGUGAGGUAAGUCAGCGGGGAAAUGCCCCCGCUCAACGGGGUGAAGGGCCAUUGAUACUGCCUUGCUGGAAUGCGGAUGCCGUGGGAGGAAUGUGUGGUGUAGCGGUGAAAUGCAUAGAUAUCACACAGAACACCGAUUGCGAAGGCAUCUCACGAAUCCGCGAUUGACGCUGAUGCACGAAAGCGUGGGUAUCAAACAGGAUUAGAUACCCCAGUAGUC